rnacentral:sRNA from 18 species
ACAUUCAUGCAGCCGAGAUCCGUUCGCGAGAACGGGUGCGGGGGACCCACUUCGGGGGCGUAUUCCGGCAAUGGCGCCGGAUAGAGGACUUUCAGCCUCGAGCCCGUCAGCUAACCUCGUAGGCAUCUGGAAGGGCACGA